UACGAAGGGGGCUAGCGUUGCUCGGAAUGACUGGGGCGUAAAGGGCGCGUAGGCGGCUCAUACAGUCAGAUGUGAAAUUCCUGGGCUUAACCUGGGGGCUGCAUUUGAUACGUGUGGGCUUGAGUGGGGAAGAGGGUCGUGGAAUUCCCAGUGUAGAGGUGAAAUUCGUAGAUAUUGGGAAGAACACCGGUGGCGAAGGCGGCGACCUGGUCCUUGACUGACGCUGAGGCGCGAAAGCGUGGGGAGCAAACAGG
rnacentral:rRNA from 1 species